rnacentral:rRNA from 1 species
UACGUAGGGGCAAGCGUUGUCCGGAAUCAUUGGGCGUAAAGAGCGCGUAGGCGGUCCGGUAAGUCCGCUCUGAAAGUCCAGGGCUCAACCCCUGGAAAGCCGGCCGAUACUGUCGGACUAGAGUCCGGAAGAGGCAAGUGGAAUUCCCGGUGUAGCGGUGAAAUGCGCAGAGUAUCGGGAGGAACACCAAUUGCGAAGGCAGCUUGCGUGGGACGUACUGACGCUGAGGCGCGAAAGCGUGGGA